UGCUGAGCGCCGGCUAACAGGUUAAUACCCAACUCCGUCAGGUCUGGAAGGAAGCAGCGGCAAGUAUUUAAUUUGUGUAGCCGGAGUGCUCGGCAUUU
rnacentral:SRP_RNA from 1 species